rnacentral:rRNA from 1 species
ACGGGGGGGGCAAGCGUUGUUCGGAAUUACUGGGCGUAAAGGGCGCGUAGGCGGCCUGCUAAGUCGGACGUGAAAUCCCUCGGCUCAACCGAGGAACUGCGUCCGAUACUGGUGGGCUUGAAUCCGGGAGAGGGAUGUGGAAUUCCAGGUGUAGCGGGGAAAUGCGUAGAUAUCUGGAGGAAAACCGGUGGCGAAGGCGGCAUUCUGGACAAAGAUUGACGCU